rnacentral:rRNA from 1 species
UAGGGAAUCUUCGGCAAUGGACGAAAGUCUGACCGAGCAACGCCGCGUGAGUGAAGAAGGUUUUCGGAUCGUAAAACUCUGUUGUUAGAGAAGAACAAGGACGUUAGUAACUGAACGUCCCCUGACGGUAUCUAACCAGAAAGCCACGGCUAACUACGUGCCAGCAGCCGCGGUAAUACGUAGGUGGCAAGCGUUGUCCGGAUUUAUUGGGCGUAAAGCGAGCGCAGGCGGUUUCUUAAGUCUUAUGUGAAAGCCCCCGGCUCAACCGGGGAGGGUCAGUGGAAACUGGGAGACUUGAGUGCAGAAGAGGAGAGUGGAAUUCCAGGUGUAGCGGUGAAAUGCGUAGAUAUAUGGAGGAACACCAGUGGCGAAGGCGGCUCUCUGGUCUGUAACUGACGCUGAGGCUCGAAAGCGUGGGGAGCAAACAGG